rnacentral:rRNA from 1 species
UCGAGAAUCUUCCGCAAUGGGCGAAAGCCUGACGGAGCGACGCCGCGUGUGGGACGAAGGCCCUUGGGUUGUAAACCACUGUCACGAGUUAUGAAGGCGCGUUAUCUAAUAGGUGUCGUGUUGACGUAAGCUCGAGAGGAAGCACCGGCUAACUCUGUGCCAGCAGCCGCGGUAAUACAGAGGGUGCAAACGUUGUUCGGAAUUACUGGGCAUAAAGCGCACGUAGGCGGCCAUGUAAGUCGGAAGUGAAAGCCCCUGGCUCACCCAGGGAGGGUCUUUCGAUACUGCAUGGCUCGAGGAUGGUAGGGGAGAGCGGAACUCCUGGUGGAGCGGUGAAAUGCGUAGAUAUCAGGAGGAACACCGGAGGCGAAGGCGGCUCUCUAGUCCAUUACUGACGCUGAGGUGCGAAAGCUAGGGUAGCGAACGGGAUUAGAUACCCCCGUAGUCC